rnacentral:rRNA from 1 species
AACGCUGGCGGCGUGCCUAACACAUGCAAGUCGAGCGCGAAAGGGGGGGCAACUCCCCGAGUAGAGCGGCAAACGGGUGAGUAACGCGUGGGUGAUCUACCUUCGAGUGGGGAACAACACCGGGAAACUGGUGCUGAUACCGCAUGACAUCCCGGGUCACACCGGGAUCAAAGCUGGGGACCGAAAGGCCUGGCGCUUGAAGACGAGCCCGCGUCCGAUUAGCUAGUUGGCGGGGUAACGGCCCACCAAGGCGACGAUCGGUAGCCGGCCUGAGAGGGCGGACGGCCACACUGGGACUGCGACACGGCCCAGACUCCUACGGGAGGCAGCAGUGGGGAAUUUUUCGCAAUGGGCGCAAGCCUGACGAAGCAACGCCGCGUGGAGGAUGAAGGCCUUCGGGUCGUAAACUCCUGUCGACCGGGACGAAAGCAGUCUGGCCGAACAAGCCGGGCUGUUGACUGUACCGGUGGAGGAAGCCACGGCUAACUCUGUGCCAGCAGCCGCGGUAAUACAGAGGUGGCAAGCGUUGUUCGGAAUUACUGGGCGUAAAGGGCGCGUAGGCGGUCCGCUAAGUCCCGCGUGAAAGCCCCCGGCUCAACUGGGGAACUGCGCGGGAAACUGACGGACUUGAGUUCGGGAGAGGGAAGCGGAAUUCCGGGUGUAGCGGUGAAAUGCGUAGAUAUCCGGAGGAACACCGGUGGCGAAGGCGGCUUCCUGGACCGACACUGACGCUGAGGCGCGAAAGCUAGGGGAGCAAACG